rnacentral:rRNA from 1 species
GUGCCAGCCGCCGCGGUAAUACGUAGGGGGCAAGCGUUGUCCGGAUUUAUUGGGCGUAAAGAGCUCGUAGGCGGUUCGAUAAGUCGGCUGUGAAAUCUCCACGCUUAACGUGGAGGGGUCAGUCGAUACUGUCGUGACUCGAGUCCGGUAGGGGAGAAUGGAAUUCCCGGUGUAGCGGUGAAAUGCGCAGAGAUCGGGAGGAACACCCGUAGCGAAGGCGGUUCUCUGGGCCGGUACUGACGCUGAGGAGCGAAAGCGUGGGGAGCAAACAGGAUUAGAUACCCUAGUAGUCC